GACGAACGCUGGCGGCGUGCUUAACACAUGCAAGUCGAACGGAAAGGCCCCUUUGGGGGUACUCGAGUGGCGAACGGGUGAGUAACACGUGAGUAACCUGCCCUUGACUUCGGGAUAACUUCAGGAAACUGGGGCUAAUACCGGAUAGGAAUCCUUGCUGCAUGGUGGGGGUUGGAAAGCUUCGGCGGUUUUGGAUGGACUCGCGGCUUAUCAGCUUGUUGGUGGGGUAGUGGCUUACCAAGGCUUUGACGGGUAGCCGGCCUGAGAGGGCGACCGGCCACAUUGGGACUGAGAUACGGCCCAGACUCCUACGGGAGGCAGCAGUGGGGAAUAUUGCACAAUGGGCGGCAGCCUGAUGCAGCAACGCCGCGUGCGGGAUGACGGCCUUCGGGUUGUAAACCGCUUUCAGCAGGGGCGAAGCUUGUGGUGACGGUACCUGCAGAAGAAGCACCGGCUAACUACGUG
rnacentral:rRNA from 1 species